CAGGGAGGUGGGUGGACAAGCACACAAUGCUCACUGCUGAACUACUGAAAUUGGGUGGAUCAGAAACAGAAUUGGAGCUAUUUUAUCUGGACCUAAUUAAACAACCUUCAUUACUGGCAGGCACAGAGUUUCUGCAGUGUUUUGUGUGGUGUAUUUGGGGUGAAUUCCAGUCAUGCAAAUGAGGCCAGCAUGAGGCAGAUGCAAUGCUUUUGUCCUC